AUUGAACGCUGGCGGCAGGCCUAACACAUGCAAGUCGAGCGGAUGAAGGGAGCUUGCUCCUGGAUUCAGCGGCGGACGGGUGAGUCAUGCCUAGGAAUCUGCCUGGUAGUGGGGGAUAACGUCCGGAAACGGGCGCUAAUACCGCAUACGUCCUGAGGGAGAAAUUGGGGGAUCUUCGGACCUCACGCUAUCAGAUGAGCCUAGGUCGGAUUAGCUAGUUGGUGGGGUAAAGGCCUACCAAGGCGACGAUCCGUAACUGGUCUGAGAGGAUGAUCAGUCACACUGGAACUGAGACACGGUCCAGACUCCUACGGGAGGCAGCAGUGGGGAAUAUUGGACAAUGGGCGAAAGCCUGAUCCAGCCAUGCCGCGUGUGUGAAGAAGGUCUUCGGAUUGUAAAGCACUUUAAGUUGGGAGGAAGGGCAGUAAGUUAAUACCUUGCCGUUUUGACGUUACCAACAGAAUAAGCACCGGCUAACUUCGUG
rnacentral:rRNA from 1 species